rnacentral:pre_miRNA from 8 species
GGUGCCUGCUGAGAACAAUAUCCUGAUGCUGAAUGAGUGUGUUGAAGGAAACUCCAGCAUCAGUGAUUUUGUUGCCAGAGGAG